rnacentral:rRNA from 1 species
AUUGAACGCUGGCGGCAGGCCUAACACAUGCAAGUCGAACGAGUGGCGGACGGGUGAGUAAUGUCUGGGAAACUGCCCGAUGGAGGGGGAUAACUACUGGAAACGGUAGCUAAUACCGCCUACCAUCGGAUGUGCCCAGAUGGGAUUAGCUAGUAGGUGGGGUACUGGCUCACCUAGUCGACGAUCCCUAGCUGGUCUGAGAGGAUGACCAGCCACACUGGAACUGAGACACGGUCCAGACUCCUACGGGAGUCAGCAUGGGGGAAUAUUGCACAAUGGGCGCAAGCCUGAUGCAGCCAUGCCGCGUGUAUGAAGAAGGCCUUCGGUUGGUAAAGUACGUUCAGCGGGGAGGCGUUACCCGCAGAAGAAGCACCGGCUAACUCCGUGCCAGCAGCCGCGGUAAUAC